UAAACUAGGAUUAGAUACCCUAUUAUUUUAAAUGUGAAUUUUAAAUGCUAAAUUAGUAUUAGUUAUGUUCUUGAAAAUUAAAAAAUUUGGCGGUAUUUUAGUCUUUUCAGAGGAACCUGCCCUGUAAUUGAUAGUCCACGAUUAGAUGAACUUUAUUUAUUAGUUUACAUAUCGUCGUAGUUAGAAUAUUUUAAUAGAAAAUUAAUAUUCAAAGUUUUAAAUAAGAAAAUAAAUCAGAUCAAGGUGUAGUUUAUAAUAAAGAAGAGGUGGGUUACAUUAAAUUUAUUUUAGGAUAAUUUUUUUUUAAAAAAAUUUGAAUAUGGAUUUGAUAGUAAUUUUAAUAUAUUUUUAUAAAAUGAUUAUAGCUCUAAAAUAUGCACACAUCGCCCGUCGCUCUUAA
rnacentral:rRNA from 1 species